rnacentral:tRNA from 1 species
GCCGGCGUGGCGGAAUUGGCAGACGCGCGGGACUCAAAAUCCCGUUCCUUUAUUGGAGUGUCGGUUCGACCCCGACCGCCGGUAUUU